GCGAGCGGUUUCGAUGAAGUUUUCGGAUGGAAUUGAAAUUGACUUAGCGGCGGACGGGUGAGUAACGCGUGGGUAACCUGCCUUACACUGGGGGAUAACAGUUAGAAAUGACUGCUAAUACCGCAUAAGCGCACAGGGCCGCAUGGUCUGGUGUGAAAAACUCCGGUGGUGUAAGAUGGACCCGCGUCUGAUUAGGUAGUUGGUGGGGUAACGGCCCACCAAGCCGACGAUCAGUAGCCGACCUGAGAGGGUGACCGGCCACAUUGGGACUGAGACACGGCCCAAACUCCUACGGGAGGCAGCAGUGGGGAAUAUUGGACAAUGGGCGAAAGCCUGAUCCAGCGACGCCGCGUGAGUGAAGAAGUAUUUCGGUAUGUAAAGCUCUAUCAGCAGGGAAGAAAAUGACGGUACCUGACUAAGAAGCCCCGGCUAACUACGUGCCAGCAGCCGCGGUAAUACGUAGGGGGCAAGCGUUAUCCGGAUUUACUGGGUGUAAAGGGAGCGUAGACGGUUAAGCAAGUCUGAAGUGAAAGCCCGGGGCUCAACCCCGGUACUGCUUUGGAAACUGUUUGACUUGAGUGCAGGAGAGGUAAGUGGAAUUCCUAGUGUAGCGGUGAAAUGCGUAGAUAUUAGGAGGAACACCAGUGGCGAAGGCGGCUUACUGGACUGUAACUGACGU
rnacentral:rRNA from 1 species